GAUGAACGCUGGCGGCGUGCCUAAUACAUGCAAGUCGAGCGAACAGACGAGGAGCUUGCUCCUCUGACGUUAGCGGCGGACGGGUGAGUAACACGUGGAUAACCUACCUAUAAGACUGGGAUAACUUCGGGAAACCGGAGCUAAUACCGGAUAAUAUAUUGAACCGCAUGGUUCAAUAGUGAAAGACGGUUUUGCUGUCACUUAUAGAUGGAUCCGCGCCGCAUUAGCUAGUUGGUAAGGUAACGGCUUACCAAGGCGACGAUGCGUGGCCGACCUGAGAGGGUGAUCGGCCACACUGGAACUGAGACACGGUCCAGACUCCUACGGGAGGCAGCAGUAGGGAAUCUUCCGCAAUGGGCGAAAGCCUGACGGAGCAACGCCGCGUGAGUGAUGAAGGUCUUCGGAUCGUAAAACUCUGUUAUUAGGGAAGAACAAAUGUGUAAGUAACUAUGCACGUCUUGACGGUACCUAAUCAGAAAGCCACGGCUAACUACGUG
rnacentral:rRNA from 1 species